rnacentral:rRNA from 1 species
AGAGUUUGAUCCUGGCUCAGAAUGAACGUUGGCGGCGUGGAUUAGGCAUGCAAGUCGUGCGAGAAGUUCUCUUAGCUUGCUUUGAGGACGGACAGCGGCGUAAGGGAGAGUAACGCGUGGUUACGUACCCCGGAGACCGGGAUAGUGUUGGGAAACUGGCAGUAAUACCGGAUAAUAUCUUCGGAUCAAAUGGUGUGAUUCCGCUUUGGGAUCGGACCGCGUACUAUUAGCUUGUUGGUGAGGUAAUGGCUCACCAAGGCUGUGAUGGUUACCGGGUGUGAGAGCAUGGCCCGGCUCACUGGGACUGAGACACUGCCCAGACAUCUACGGAUGGCUGCAGUCGAGAAUCUUCGGCAAUGGACGAAAGUCUGACCGAGCGACGCCGCGUGCGGGAUGAAGGCCCUCGGGUUGUAAACCGCUGUCAGUUAGGAGGAAAUCUAUGGGGGUUCUCUCCUGUAGUUGACCGAUUUUCAGAGGAAGGACGGGCUAAGUUCGUGCCAGCAGCCGCGGUAAGACGAACCGUCCGAACGUUAUUCGGUAUCACUGGGCUUAAAGCGUGCGUAGGCGGCUUGGUAGGUGAGAUGUGAAAGCCCACGGCUCAACCGUGGAACUGCGUUUCAAACCAUCAGGCUUGAGGAAGACAGGGGUGAUGGGAACUUAUGGUGGAGCGGUGAAAUGCGUUGAUAUCAUAGGGAACACCGGUGGCGAAGGCGCAUCACUGGGUCUUUUCUGACGCUGAGGCACGAAAGCUAGGGUAGCGAACGGGAUUAGAUACCCCGGUAGUCCUAGCUGUAAACGAUGAGCACUGGGUUGAGGGAACUUCCACAUUCUCUCGGCCGUAGCGAAAGCGUUAAGUGCUCCGCCUGGGGAGUAUGGUCGCAAGGCAA